GCGGUAAUGUAACCCUAAUGCACAGAUAGCUGACAUCAACUUCCGUCAGGCAGCUCCUGGAGAUCGAACCUUUCGAUUGUAACUGGGACAAUUUGCAUAGUGAUUCCCUUUCAGAGCUUUCCCGGGUCCAUAACAAGCCCAGGCAGCUAUUCAAAUGCAAGUUGCAUCCCCAAAUGCAAGGCUGGCCUGACCAAAAAGAGCCACUCGGCGCCCAGGAGAGGCGAGACUCCUGCUCCGGCUCUCCUCCUUCUCUUUUCUCCUUUCUACUCCCUUUCUCUUCUCUGGUUCCUGAUUUCGCUGGGAGCUGUUUAUUUAUGGCUGCAAAUGUGUGUGUGCAAGAGAGAGAGAGAGAGAGGGAGGGAAUUGAUCUUUGCCUGGACUUAAAGAUGGAGCCGAAGGAGCUGGAGGGAAUUUGGGUUUGUGCGUCUGGCUCAGACCCUGGGCGCCAAGGGGGGGCCACUGGGCGCCGAGCCCGAGGUCCUUCCUCCUCGUCGUCGUACCCCUUACCCCCGCGACCUUGCAGGAAUCUGCCGGCUCGGAAGCGGCCCGGCUGACCCACCUGCCGCGGGCGGGGCUCCAGAGAAAGUCUUCGGACAGGAAGCCAUCCUGUCCCUGUCUUUAAAAUGAGCGCAAUAAAAGGGGGCAAAUCCUUGAACGCGAACCUGAUCUCAUGUCACAGAAGCAACUUGCCAUGAAAUCCGCUAAUGCGCUGCGACUCGCCCACCAGGGGCAGCGUGCGGCGGCGGAACCGCACCUGCAUUCAUGAGCCUUGUAGAGAUGGAGCCCGCGGGACUCGCUCGCUGGGAGAAAUCCCCACAUUGAAACUUGUGUAACACUUCCCUAGGCUGGUUCACGGUUUCUAAAUCUCCCAGGUUGCUCAGCUGUCUCUCCAAAUCCAAACCAAACCUGCCAAAGAUCAUAGGCCACUGACCUUGCGGCACUGACCGUUAACUCGGUGGCAAAACCAGCUCCUGUGGUCAGAGGGCAAUAAAGCCGCGGCUAAAUUUGUGUAUGUGCUUUUUUUUUUUUAAAUGGUGAGAAAAAAAAAUGUAGGCUUCUUAAAUCCGCAAAAGCAGCUAAACAUGUUUUCAAAUGUUCUUUACUUAUAUUGGUUUGAGGGGUGGAAGCUGUCUGGCAGUGAGCUUUUUCGUUGCACCUGUUUCAUGCAGAGUACCCGGGAUGUUUUUCUCAUUUUUUAAGUCUUAGUAUCUUUGGAAAAGGUAAAAUAUUUCUCCGCUCAUUUCACAAUAGGUUCUAUCAUUACACAAUAGAUAUGUAAGAGAGCAUUGGAGACUGAGUGGUGAAAAAAGCAGGCUGGAAAGUACAAAUAAACCCAAUACAAAAUGAAAACAAAUUGAACAGAUGAAAUGAUUGAAAGACGAUGGGAGAAUUGACUUGUCUGGGAAAAAGAACGCUUAAAAAGGUCUGAACUUUCCAGAUUUAGUGACAACACAGAACAAAUCCAAAGGAAUUAAAUCUAUUCUUUUGCCCUUAUAUGUACAACCAAAGAACACAGGCCCUCCUGGGCAUCUGGGUUAAGUGCACAUUUUGAAGCAUUUCAAAGGACAAUUCAGCUUUGGGACACUUGCGUGCUUUUUGGUAAACUACAACCAAUUAGGGGACCUUUAGUCCUGGUGGAAAACAAUUUCAAAUUUAUUUCUGGCUUUAGGGAACAACAAAAAAAUAAUACCCUAGUAGUUAAAUAAUUUCUGGUUUCUAUGAGUUAAUUUAAUGUAAAUAGUCUACUCUCCAGUCACACAGAGGAAGAAGGUAGAGCUCUGGCAUACAGGAAGGGACAGUUAGGUAAUGACAAAACUCUUUGCUUCUGGGUUCUGAGGGGGUUGUUGGGUGGCUCUGAACCUUAGCUUUGGGUUUGUUGCAUCUCUCGCUCUCUUAAAACAGUAACUCAAGAUGUAAGUAAAAGUGUUUUCAUUUUUUAUUGAUCCCGCUAACAUCUUUCAUUAUCCAGCAUGUAGCCACAGCAAAUUAUUGCUCAUUUGAUACCGAGAAUUCUAUUGACCGUCACUUUCGUUGGAGAGAGAAUUCUAACUACUCGGCUGCUCUGUAGUCAGAGCUUAAAGCUGAGGACUUUCCAAGCUAAAACCGAAAUAAAUUGAGCCCUCUGCCUCCAGAAAUUGAUGGAGAUGUGUUCAUUACACUGGGCCACGUGAACAUGCAUAGAAAUCUGCUUUUUACUCUGCCAGCCUUGCCCUCACUCAGGCAUAGGUCAGCCCCUUUGGAACAGAACUAGAUACUUGGAGGGCUGGGCAUUCAUUUGCUUUUCCUGUAUCCCUUCUGGCAACUUCUUUCCAGCUCUGGC